rnacentral:rRNA from 1 species
UACGGAGGGUGCGAGCGUUGUCCGGAAUCACUGGGCGUAAAGGGCGCGUAGGCGGCCUGAUAAGUAGGGGGGUGAAAUCCUGCGGCUUAACCGCAGGGCUGCCUUCUAAACUGUCAGGCUGGAGCACAGUAGAGGCAGGUGGAAUUCCCGGUGUAGCGGUGGAAUGCGUAGAGAAUCGGGAAGAACAUCAGUGGCGAAGGCGGCCUGCUGGGCUGUUGCUGACGCUGAGGCGCGACAGCGUGGGGAGCAAACAGG